GAAAUGCGAUACGUAAUGUGAAUUGCAGAAUUCAGUGAAUCAUCGAAUCUUUGAACGCACAUUGCACUCUCUGGUAUUCCGGAGAGUAUGCUUGUUUGAGUAUCAGUAAACACCUCAAACCUCUGUUCUCUUGUAGAAUAGAGGCUUGGACUUGAGCGAUCCCAACUUUUGUAAAAAGAAAGGCGGGUCGCUUGAAAUGCAGGUGCAGCUGGACAAUUCUUCUGAGCUAAAAGCAUAUUUAUUUAGUCCCGUCAAACGGUCUAUUACUUUUUGCUGCAGCUAACAUAAAGGUUGAUUUGUCCUAUAUGCUGACUGAUGCAGGAUUAACAGAAAAGGAAUUUAUUUCAUUUUUGUAAACUCGAUCUCAAAUCAAGUAAGACUACCCGCUGAACUUAA
rnacentral:misc_RNA from 1 species